rnacentral:lncRNA from 1 species
GCUUUCACUUUAAUAGAUCGUGCGGCUGCACACGCUUUGGGUCCAUGCAUUUCUCUAAUCGAGCUGUAACACUUGCUGCUGCGGUCCAUGGCUCCAUUCCUUGAAGCCCACGAGACCAGGAACCCUUGGAUUGAGAAAAAACCUUCAAUUGGGAGGAUACUUCUUAUCUCAUUUCUAGGGGCCCAUCCGGGAUUUCUCCACAGCACUCAAGCUGAGCUUUCACUCUCUGUCCACCACUGCUGUUUGCCACUGCCGCAGACACGCGCUGACUUCCAUCCCUUCGGAUCCGGCAGGGUGUCCUCUGUGCUCCUGAUCCAGUGAGGUGCCCAUUGCUGCUCCCGAUCCGACUAAAGGCUUGCCAUUGUUCCUGCAUGGCUAAGUGCCCAGGUUCGUUCUAAUCGAGCUGAACACUAGUCACUGGGUUCCACGGUUCUCUUCCAUGACCCACGGCUUCUAAUAGAGCUAACAGAGCUGUAACACUCACCGCAUGGCCCAAGAUUCCAUUCCUUUGAAUCCGUGAGGCCAGGAACCCCAGGUCAGCUACCACCAGGCUAGCCACCAUCUUGGAAACAGCUUGCGGCCAUUUUGGAAGCGUCCCAUUACCGUCUUGGUAGCUCUGGGAGCAAGGACCCCCAGUAACAUGAGGACUCACACAGACUAGUGAGGGGAGCCAGUGGCAAACUGUAAGAUGUGCCACUGAGAUCCCCCUUCAAGUUCAGUUCUUCAGAGUCUGCUUCAGCUGCGUGAAGUGCUUUUACCCUAAGUCUCCCCAUCUUCUUCAGACCAGCCGGCAUACAGCAACUGAGCAGGGAUUUGUGGCUCUUCACGAAGAUAAAUAUUUAUCACCAAACAAUGUAAACUUCCCACAUGACAACGAGCAACUACCAUCUUGUCUUCAGGAUAUUUUUGUAGAUUUGAAAGGCAGUAGAAGCCGGGGACAGGGGCUCACGCCUGUAAUCCCAGCACUUUGGGAGGCUCUGGCGGUGGAUUACUUGAGGCCAGGAGGUCAAGACCAGCCUGGCCAACAUGGCAAAACCCCAACUCUGCUAAAAAAUACAAAAAUUAGCCCAGGGUGGUGAUUCGUGCCUGUAGUCCCAGACACUGGAGAGGCUGAGACAGGAGAAUCGUUUGAACCUGGGAUGCGGAGACUGCAGUGAGCCAGGUCCAAAAAAAAAAAAAAAAAAAAAAAAGAAAAAAGAUCAUAGAUAUUAAUUAGUUCAGCAGGCUGAUGUUAAAAAGUAAAACUAUGGCUAAGACAACUAAAAUGACAAGAUCAGAUAUACAUAGCCAGUUUAUCACUGAGAACACUUUUGAGAUAAUAGUGGAAAAUAUAUAUUUAUUUAGUACGUGCAUACAAUCCUUAUUAGCAUGCCCAUAAGAACAUGAGUAAAUAUGCUUGUAAAUAAGGCAUCAAAUUAGGGCCAACAUUUAAAAUAUAAAAUUGUUUUUAACAUUCUCCUUAAUAAGGAGAGAAAGUACACAUUCCAAAUGUGUCUUAGAAAUAAUAUUAUUCUAAAAACAUUCAUUGUUAUCAUGUACCAUUGCUUUAAGAGGUUUGUAAGAUCCAUUUCAGUUAUGACAUUAAAAUAGAACAGAUAAUUACAAAAAAUCCGAAUUGACAUUUCUUGCAAAUGUUUUAAGCCUAGGAUUCCAUCAAGGUAUUAAUAACCAAUUUAUUUUAAUAAAACCUUUCCAUUUUCCAUACAUAAAAUGUUUCAAAUUUCCCUUCAAAUAGUAACAGUGUAAUAUCUAUUUUAAAAAAUUACUGUUUAAUUAAAAAUUUUACCUUAUAUUGUUGGAAUACAGGGAAACACAUUUUAAAAUAUUAUAUACAUAAGACACAUUUAGCUCAAACACUGUAAAGAGUUUGAACAACUCUUGCUUUGUAUGCAAUAGAAGACAUUUUAGUGAAUCUACGUUGACAUACAAGCCAAGGGGUGAUAUUAAUAGUAAUGCAAAAUAAGAUAUACUUGAUUUUAUCAUGACUCUUAAACUAACCAAAAUACUUUUAUUUAAAAGAAAAGCACGGAGUUUAAACAAUUAAUAUUCACUCCAAACCAAGAUUAGUACAAGCUCAUGUCUCAAGAUUUCUAAUCUACUUAGAGCAAUUUUGAUAAGGAAAUAAAAAUCAAUGAUAUGGUUACCCAACGAAAACCCACUUUCAUAGCUAAAAAAAAAAGAUAUGUGCUGUUGUAUAACUUAACUGAUAUUUUAAAAUUACAUAAUUUAUGAGAGUUACUUCCUUAAAAUUAUCUCUCUCUCACUUUCUGUCCUCUCUCUCCCUGUUUUGUCUUUCUUGAUGCUAUUUAUAACUGUUAAGUGCCUAACCUAACUUCCUGUACUUGUACUGGUUUUAGGAUGUGUAUAAAUAAAUUUUAUAGAGAUGUCAUUGUAUCAUUUUAAAUUAUGGACAUCUAUUCAGUUAGUUAUGUUUUUUAAAGGAGAUGAGAAAGAAAACACUUUCUGAAUCUACAAAGUAUUCUUAUUUCUGAUGUUACUGUCUUUAUUCCAUUCUGUUAAUCAUAGUAUAAUCUCUCUUUGAAGUAUAAAAUAGUUGAGGAUCAGUUUUACGCCAGAAUUUAUAAGCUAUCAUGCUGAAAUCCUCCAAACCAGUAAGCACAUCAUAAACACACAAUGGAUAAUGGUAGUUUCAAUGGUCUCUGAAGUUGGUUUGGAUGUUAACAUAGCUCCAUCAUCUACUGUGUUACCUAAGGUAGUUCUUAAUAGCUCUGAGUCUUGGUAUAGCCAUUUGUAAAUUAUAAAAAGAAAAUCAAUAGCGCUACUAUAAUUGAGGCUAUUGUGAGAAUUAAAAUAAAAUGUAAUAUAAAAAUAAAAUACUAAAACAGUUUUUAACUUUAGUAGAUGCUGUCUAAACAUGUAGGUGCAAUCUUAUUAUUCUUGCUAGAUUAAAAUUAGCAACAGAAACUGAAAAUCAAAUAGAAGAUAUUAUUUUAUAACACUAUUUUCAGUUACCUUACAUGCUCUGAACAUGUAACACCAGCUCUAGUUCUGUAAAAUCUUAAGGAUUUAAUGUGAGCUACAGUAUUAAAAAUCACUUAAAUAAUGAUCCUCAUCCGCAGCGGAAUCUAUUUCAUGUUUAACGAGGUAUGUGUUUUGGAUUUCAUCCACGUCUGACAAAGCAGAGGCAUGGGCAUCAGUGUGUUUUGCAUUUUUUUGUGUGUUUUAUUUACUUAUAUUUUUUCUCACUGAAAUAUCCUAACUCAAACUUGUUGGCUUUCAUUAAUACUUAUGUUUAUAACAAUGUAUUGUAAUCUCUACCCCCAACAAACACACACAUUUAAAAUGUGAGGUUAGUAUUAAAAUUGGAUGUUUGUACUGAAACACAUUAUAUACUUCCCAAACUAUGUGUCUUUAUAACACAGAUGUUAAUUAGAAUAAAUAUGAAUAUUAAAAUGUUACCGAAAGGAAGAUAGUAAAUUCAUUUUCUUCAUUUAUUCUUCCCUAUUCAUGUGUCAGAGAAAGUUCUCAAACAUUGGGUCAUAUUUUGCAGAAAGAAGGACAUUUUCCUAGAGUACUAAUGAAGGACUUGAAGGCUUUUUCAGUUGGCUCUGAUUUUUACCUCACCACAUUGCCACUUCCCCUCGAUGCUGCCAGAAGGCCCUUAACUUUACUCCUCCAUUGAGUCCCUUUGGUCAUCUGGGCUGGCUUGAGUCACCUGCAGAAAGCAAGCCUUCUAAUCUUCACUUGGGACACUGGUAAUCUGUUUGUGAAGCUGUUUAAACACCAUCAGUUUCUUCCAGACUCCUUCCCUUUCACCUCUACUUGAACAUAUUAGUGUGUUACAAUUCUUUUUUUGUUUGUUUGUUUGAGACAGAGUUUCACUCUUGUUGCCCAGGCUGGAAUGCAGUGGAGCAAUCUCCGCUCACUGAAACCUCCGCCUUCCGGUUUCAAGCAAUUCUCCUGCCUCAGCCUCCUGAGUAGCUGGAUUACAGGCGCUUGCUACCACACCCUACUAAUUUUUGUAUUUUUAGUAGAGACGGGGUUUCACCAUGAUGGCCAGGCUGGUAUCGAACUCCUAACCUCGUGAUCCACCGGCCUCAGCCUCCCAAAGUGCUGGGAUUACAGGCGUGAGCCACCGCGCCCGGCCUUGUGUUACAAUUCUUUACCUGCCAAAUGGACCCUUUUGUGAGGAAAACAUGAGCAAAGAAUUAGAUGACCGAGUUUGGGAAGUCUGCAGUCUGAUAAUCUAUAAUCUGCAACAUUGCUCCCAGCAAUGUUUCAUGUGCACUCAAAUAGGCCACAUUAGCAUGGACUAUCUUUUCUCUCUCUCUUAGCCUAGCCUUGAUUCUUAUGUCAGCUGAGCCAAGUUGUAAUUCAUGUACGUCACUGACAAGAAAAGGGAAGCUGGUCAGAGGUAAUUAGUCCUACCUGUUGCUAUAGUUUGAGGCAGUACCUCCACAAUUCAGGUGCUGCCAAUAUGAUGGUAUUAAGAGGUGGGGCCUUUCAGAGCUGAUAAGUCCAUGAGGGCUUGUUACGUACCUCAUGAAGGUGAUUGAGUCCCUCAUAAAAGGGCUUGGCAGAGGGAAUUCCUCCCUUUUUCCUUUCCACCUUCAGUCCUAUGAGGACACAGUGCUCCUCCCCUCUACAGGAUUUAGUGUUCAAGGCACCAUUUUGUAAGCAGACAACAAACCUGCUGGCACAUUGAUCCUACACUGCUUGGUCUCCAGAAGGGAAAAACCAGGCCAUACAGAGAUAGGAGCUGAAGGGGCAUGGUGAGAAGUGACCAGAAGAUGAGUGUGAGCCCUCUGUCAUGCCUGGAUAGGGCCACUAGAGGGCUCCUUGGUCUAGCGGUAACGCCAGUGCCUGGGAAGGCAGCCGUUACUUAGCCGACCAAGAAAGGGAGUCUCCCUCUCUCCUGGGGAGUUAGAGAAGACUCUGCUCCACCACCUCCUGUGGAAGGCCUGACAUCAGUCAGGCCCGCCCACAGCCAUCGGGAGGCCUAAAUGUCUCACUGUGAUGCUGUGCUUCAGCGGUCACGCUCCUGUUUCACUUUCAUGUUCCACCCUAUACAUCUGGUUCUGCCUUCAAGCAGUAGCAGAAUUAGUGAAAGUACUAAAAAAGCCUUUGAAAUGCAUAGAAUAAUGGCCUAAGCUGUCCUCUCCGCCUUGGCUGCCAAACAGGGAAGGGCCCCCUCUCCCGUGGACACAUGACUCACGUGACCUUAUCAAUCAUUGGAAAUGACUCACACUCCUUACCCUGCCCCUUUUGUCUUGUAUCUAAUAAAUAACGGCGAAGCCAGGCAUUCGGGGCUACUACCGGUCUCCCCGUCUUGGUGGUAGUGGUCCCCCGGGCCCAGCUGUCUUUUCUUCUAUAUCUUUGUCUUGUGUCUAUUUCUAUGAUCUCCCGUCUCUGCACACGAGGAGAAAAACCCACAGACCCUGUAGGGCUGGCCCCUACAAAAUGCUGCAUUUUGGCUACAUGAUAUGGUUUGGCUGUGUCCCCGUCCAAAUCUAUCUUGAAUUGUAGCUCCCAUAAUUCCCAUGUGUUGUGGGAGGAACCUGGUGAGAGAUAAUUGAAUCAUGGGGACAAUUUCCCCCAUACUGUUCUCGUGGGAGUGAAUAAGUCUCACGAGACCUGAUGGUGUUAUAAUGGGAAACCCCUUUCGCUUGGUUGUCAUUCUCUGUCUGCCACCAUGAUUUGAGGCCUCCCCAGCCACGUGGAACUGUGAGUCCAUUAAACCUCUUUUUCUUUAAUAAUUACUCAGUCUUGGGUGUGUCUUUAUCAGCAGCAUGAGAACAGACUAAUACACUACGUUAAUGAGGAAGUGCUAUAGUUUACUAGGGUUCAGUUUAGUUCAACAAGUUUCCUAAAUAUCCAAAAGGGGUUAAACAUGGUUCUAAGCUAUGGGUAAAUACAAAUUGCUAUAUUUUAAAAUUGCAGGCUGGGCGUAAUCCCAGCACUUUUGGAGGCCGAGGUGGGCGGAUCACGAGGUCAGGAGAUCGAGAUCAUCCUGGCUAACAUGGUGAAAACCCAUCUCUACAAAAAUUACAAAAAUA